ACGAACGCUGGCGGCGUGCUUAACACAUGCAAGUCGAACGGAGAUAGUUUGAAAGCUUGCUGAUAACUAUCUUAGUGGCGCACGGGUGAGUAACACGUGGGCAACCUGCCCGGAAGACUGGGAUAACACCUCGAAAGGGGUGCUAAUACCGGAUACCUUCACGAAGUCGCAUGACUUUGUGCAGAAAGAAAUUCGCUUCCGGAUGGGCCCGCGUCCCAUUAGCUAGUUGGCGAGGUAACGGCUCACCAAGGCGACG
rnacentral:rRNA from 1 species